rnacentral:rRNA from 1 species
UACAGAGGUCCCAAGCGUGGUUCGGAUUCAUUGGGCGUAAAGGGUGCGUAGGCGGCGCGGUAAGUCGGGUGUGAAAUCUCGGGGCUUAACUCCGAAACUGCAUUCGAUACUGCCGUGCUUGAGGACUGGAGAGGAGACUGGAAUUUACGGUGUAGCGGUGAAAUGCGUAGAUAUCGUAAGGAAGACCAGUGGCGAAGGCGGGUCUCUGGACAGUUCCUGACGCUGAGGCACGAAGGCCAGGGGAGCAAACGGG